UCCAGUGUAAUUAACAUGGAGUGAUAGUAGUUUCUGGUGUACAGUAUUAUGAUACAACAAAUCUAGACAGUGCCCAUGGCUCAUCAUGAAUUUUUCGAAGGAAGGAGGGAACCUUCCGGAUGGUCCUCGAGGCUGUAGAAUCCUACCGGUAUUGAGCACACUGCACCUGCAUUGAUGCCUUGCAGAUCCUCAGGGAAAGUUGAAACAUCACCUUGCCCUUGAGGGUUCAGUCACGAGUUUCUGGAUUGGCGCUUUUCUUCUCCUGCUCUGUGGUCCCACGGAUGGGCUUCUCCUUGGCACUGGAAUGAGAGCCGGUGGGUGGGAGGGAUCGCUCCCAGCACAGCGCCUGGCUCUGAGUGCAUGUUCCUCAGACUAGAGAGGAGAGGAAUUGGGGCCAAGAAAUCUCUCUCACCACGGGGACAGCCUGGUUCCCGUGAUCGGAACUAAGAUAAGGUCGGCUACCUGUAAGGAGUAUUAGCCGGCCUUAAAAAGAAAGGAAAGGCUGGCAGGAGUUACAACAUGGAUGAACCUCGAGGACUUUAAGCUAAGUGACAGAAGCUGGGCACAAAGAGAUGAACACGCAAUGACCACAGUCACGGGAAGUGAGCUAGAGCAGUCAGAUUCACAAGGCAGAAAGGACCGUGGCAGUUGCCAGGGGCUGGAGGAGGAGUCGAAAUUUUAUACAAUGAAAAGAGCUCUGGAGAUGGACAGGGGUGAUGGCUGCUUGGCCCUGGGUGCACUUGAUGUCAUCCAACCUUAUGCCUGAAAAUGGCUCAGAUGCUACAAUUCAUGAUGGGUGUAUUUUACCGCAAUAACACUAACCAAAAGAAGGCGAAAGCUGGAGGAGCUACUCACCCGGGGACACACAGCCACUGGGAAGUGAAGCAUCAGUGAGAGCCAAUGCAGGGUGAAUGCCACGGUGACACUUUUCCCUGGACUUUCCCAUGGGCCGCUGCAGUGAGAUCAGGAGAAAGACCCUGGCAGGCAUACCAGCCAGUGGCCAGGACAGCAUAGUCGGCCUGGGACGGAGCUCUGGGGGCCCACCUCUCCCCUCCGACAUGGAACAGGUCGCAGCCUGAGUCCUUGCCACCCUGCAGGACAGAGAUUGGAAGGCAAGCACCUCAAGGGGUGGGUAUGAAGACGAGAUGAGCUCAUGUUCCAGCUCAUGGCCCAGCACGGUUCUGGGCCGCCGGGCAGAGUUAAAUAGAUACACAAAUGAUGCAAGAUCAGUGCCACCAGGUGGACCCUGGGAGAAGAGUUUGCUCUGUCCACCGUGGGAGUGACCGCAACGUCUCAGGAUGGCUCUCGAAGAAGAGAAACUGAGAUUCAGAGGUAAAGAGACGUGUUCAAGAUCAUCCAACCAGUACACAGAAGAGAUCCAAUCCCGCUGCUCUACCUGCAUCCACUCCUGGCACUCAUGCACACAUAACUGGGUGCCUAGUGUGUCCCCCACUUGAUUCUGGCAAGGACUGGCUUCCAAGCUUUUUGGUUACCUUCUCUUCUGUGACAAACACUGGAGCUCUAUUUCCCACCCCCUCUUCCAAGCACGCCUCUGCCAUAGGAGUGAGAAAGCUACACCCUCCACUGCGCAGACUCUCUACUAGAUGUGAGCUCUGGAGAUGCAGCAGCCAUCUUGUGACCAGGAGACCUCAAACAUAAGGAUGAAAACCAAUAAGCGAAGCAUGUCCAAGAAGACAGGUUGGAAUUCCAGGUUCCCUGUGGCAUUAUUGAGGCCGGAAGGAGUGAUCGGCAAGCCCCAGUAUCCUGACUUUCAGCGAUCAUGGACCCUGAGGUCCCCGUCCUGACGGGGCCACAGUCGGAGCCCGGAGCUUGUCCACUGUGGCCGCCAGCAUGUGGGGGCAGAUGUUGUCGUUAGACUCUGCUGCAUGACAGACCACACCAGAUCUUGCCCAGAUAUCUUCAAGGCCUGGUCGGUGUAGGGCACAGUCCCAAGAGGGCCAAGACAGAAACCCAAAGGCCUGAGAUCCUAUGCCUGUGCUUCUGGCAGAUUCUGUUGGUGGUAGCAAGUCCCAAGGUCCUGUGUGGCCUGCUCCCAAGACCCUCAGGGUUUCCUCCAAGGGCAGCAUCAGGUUGAGCAUCUGGAGUCUUGUGGUCUAGGUCAGGUCCGGAUGUGGCUGGUGCUCCACUUCACGCCGGGCAACUGAUCUACCCUCACACACCGGGAAGGAAGUCCAUUGGCAGUCUCCUCCACAUUUGGCUUGGAAAACUCUCUAGCCAGACCUGUGAGUUCAUUUGGUGCAUGUUCCAUAAUCCAAGUAUCCGCAGGUAACAGUCUUGCCAAUAGUUCUGCCACAGUGCAGCACGUCCCCCUUCCCCAGGCUCCAAGAGCAAUUUCCUCCCCGUGGUUCCAGCUCCCACCGAUCAUUCCGUGACUGUCCUUCCAGCCUCUGCCCAUCUCCGGGGCCCCUGGACCCGUGCACAUGAAUUAGCUCUGGGUUUUGGAAACAGCCCAGGCACUGGUAUUGAUUUCUAUAACUGGUAUCAGCUUAUCAGCAUAAAAAAAUGUGGCCCGCAACUUAGCGAUUUAAAACAAAGAUCUAGGCUAAUUCCUGACUGUCUGAGGGGACUCUCUGCUGUGUCUGCUGGGCUCGGGCACACAGCUGUAGUCCACUACCGGCUCAGCGGGGUCGGAAGGGCCUGGGCGCUCACUCCUGCCACUGGCCCUGGCGCCGGCUGUGGGCUGAGCACCGCGGCCCUCGGCGUGGUCUCUAACUAAUCCUUCAGGAGGCCAGCCCAGGCUUCUGGACAAGGUGGGCUCAGGACAGAGUCCCAGGAGGGCAAAGGCAGAAGCCCAAAGUCCUCUCGAUGCCUGAGCUCCGAAACUCACAUGACCUCACUCCAGCCAGACUCCGUUGUCUCAAGGCCAGCCUCGAUUCAAGGGGACAGAGAAACGGGCUCUCCCUCUGGCUGGGACUCAGUGAGGUCAUACUGCAGAGGGGCG